AAGACUAUACUUUCAGGGAUCAUUUCUAUAGUUUCUGACUGGAGAAAUGUUUGCUAAAGUGGUCGGUCUUGCUAACCAUGAUGAUGAGUCAUGAUAUUCCCUUCUGAGUGUGAAGUGGACAGUGAGGAAUGAUUUAUUAUGUUUGCUCACUGUCAUUGAUGACUGUUCUUUGCUUCUUUAUGGAGCAUUGAGGAAGGGAGUAUGAUCAGAGUGGUU
ensembl:snoRNA small nucleolar RNA U3